AGUAUUGUUAUUGCCUCUUUCUGG
rnacentral:siRNA from 1 species